rnacentral:rRNA from 1 species
CUUCGAGGUGCGAGUACAGCGGCAAACGGGUGAGUAACACGUAAGGUAUCUGCCUCCAAAUCCGGAAUAGCUCUNGCANCGCGGAAUUAAUGCCGGAUGUGGUUGCAUGGUCGCAUGGCUAUGNCACUAAAGGUGACCUCUUCGUUUGAAAGUUACCGUUUGGAGAUGACCUUGCGGNCCAUUAGCUUGUUGGCGGGGUAACGGNCCACCAAGGCUGCGAUGGGUAGCCGGCCUGAGAGGGUGAUCGGCCACAUUGGGACUGAGAUACGGGCCAGACUCCUACGGGAGGCAGCAGUAGGGAAUUUUGCGCAAUGGACGAAAGUCUGACGCAGCAACGCCGCGUGAGCGAUGAAGGUCUUCGGAUCGUAAAAGCUCUGUUGAGUGGGAAGACACGUCUCGGGGUUAAUAUCUCCGAGGCCUGACGGUACCACUCGAGGAAGCUCCGGCCAACUACGUGCCAGCAGCCGCGGGAAUACGUAGGGAGCGAGCGUUGUUCGGAAUCACUGGGGCGUAAAAGGGAGUGCAGGCGGAAAAGGUAAGGUCCAGAAGUGUAAUCUACGGGCUUAACCCGUAUCUCGCUUUUGAAACCUGCUUUCUCGAGUAGUGGAGAGG